UGGCUCUCGCAUCGAUGAAGAACGCAGCGAAAUGCGAUAAGUAAUGUGAAUUGCAGAAUUCAGUGAAUCAUCGAAUCUUUGAACGCACCUUGCGCCUUUUGGUAUUCCGAAAGGCAUGCCUGUUUCAGUGUCAUGAAAUCUCAAUCUAAUAGGUUUUCUGAACUUGUUAGACUUGGACAUGGGCGUCUUGCCAGUUAUGGCUCGCCUCAAAUGACUUAGUGGAACAUCCCACAUCAGUGUUAGACGUAAUAAGUUUCGUCUCUCCUUGUGGUGAUGACUGCUCAUAACUUGCCAUCGCGCACUUUUUGACUUUGUCCUGAAAUCAGGUAGGGCUACCCGCUGA
rnacentral:misc_RNA from 1 species